rnacentral:rRNA from 1 species
UGCGGAAGGAUCAUUACCGAGUGAGGGCCCUCUGGGUCCAACCUCCCACCCGUGUUUAUCGUACCUUGUUGCUUCGGCGGGCCCGCCUCACGGCCGCCGGGGGGCAUCCGCCCCCGGGCCCGCGCCCGCCGAAGACACACAAACGAACUCUUGUCUGAAGAUUGCAGUCUGAGUACUUGACUAAAUCAGUUAAAACUUUCAACAACGGAUCUCUUGGUUCCGGCAUCGAUGAAGAACGCAGCGAAAUGCGAUAAGUAAUGUGAAUUGCAGAAUUCAGUGAAUCAUCGAGUCUUUGAACGCACAUUGCGCCCCCUGGUAUUCCGGGGGGCAUGCCUGUCCGAGCGUCAUUGCUGCCCUCAAGCACGGCUUGUGUGUUGGGCUCUCGCCCCCCGCUUCCGGGGGGCGGGCCCGAAAGGCAGCGGCGGCACCGCGUCCGGUCCUCGAGCGUAUGGGGCUUCGUCACCCGCUCUGUAGGCCCGGCCGGCGCCCGCCGGCGAACACCAUCAAUCUUAACCAGGUUGACCUCGGAUCAGGUAGGGAUACCCGCUGAACUUAAGCAUAUCAAUA